rnacentral:rRNA from 1 species
GACGAACCGUGCGAACGUUGUUCGGAAUCACUGGGCUUAAAGGGCGCGUAGGCGGCCACGCAAGUCCUGGGUGAAAUCCCUCGGCUCAACCGAGGAACUGCCUCGGAAACUGCAUGCUCGAGGCCGGGAGAGGGUAGCGGAAUUCCCCAAGUAGAGGUGAAAUUCGUAGAUAUGGGGAGGAACACCGGUGGCGAAGGCGGCCAUCUGGACGGAUACUGACGCUGAGACGCGAAAGCGUGGGUAGCAAACAGG